UCUCUCAUCCAAGAAAACUCUCCCUUCACCGAACUUAAGCAACAAAAACUCAAACCUCUCUAUUGAUUCUCACCUUGAGAAAAAGGAGGAAGAUUUUCAUGGUGGUGUUUGCAUUGGUGUUGCUUCUGUGAAGUUCCUUUCGUGUUGGUGAGAAGGAGAUUGGUUUGUAAUCUUGGCUGUGAAGAGGAAAAAGAAGAAAUGUUCUUGAAAGAGAUUGUUUGAGCGUGUUCAAACUAAGUUUUAAGGCUCUUGUCAAGGGUUUGGACAAACACAUUGAAGGAGGAGACUACCAAGCAAGUUAUUUAUAAGCGUUCUUUUUGUUGGGAUAGUGCUAAUACUUAAUUGCAUUUAGUUUCUUUGUA